rnacentral:rRNA from 1 species
UACGUAGGGGGCAAGCGUUGUCCGGAUUUAUUGGGCGUAAAGAGCGUGUAGGCGGCCAGGUAGGUGGGUUGUGAAAACCUGGGGCUCAACCCCGGGCCUGCAGCCGAUACGGGCAAGCUAGAAUUCGGUAGGGGAGACUGGAAUUCCUGGUGUAGCGGUGAAAUGCGCAGAUAUCAGGAGGAACACCGGUGGCGAAGGCGGGUCUCUGGGCCGAUAUUGACGCUGAGGAGCGAAAGCGUGGGGAGCGAACAGG